rnacentral:lncRNA from 1 species
GGCUGAAUAUGGAGAGGGUUGUCUGUGCCUGGGAACAGAUGUGGAUCCACUUCCCAAGGAUGUUGGGGUGUAAUGAGAGUUUUCCUUAAUGCAGGUUCAGGCAGCUCUGCAUUUCACAGUGGCAUGAAAGAGAACAUGGAGAAAAAGCAAUCAUAAGAGUUCUUCUUUAGGUUGUUCAAUGAAAAAUUGGAAUUAUGUUAUGAAAUGAUGAAAUUUAAGAAAAUGGCGGGACAAUAUUUUGCUGUAAAGAUGCAGCAAGAUCAUUGGGAUCAACAGCAUAUCAGAACCUUCCUGCUGAGACCAACCCUGGGAUACUUGGCAUGGAAUGAUGUGGAUUUCCAUGGACUGGUCUCACUGCAUCUCAGAGAAGCUCCUGUGAACCUUGUGAAGACAGAUAAUGGGGUGUAA